CAGCCUACUUUUUUUAUCUUCUAAAAACAUUCUAGAAGCUGAGAGUAAUAAUUCUAAGAGCUGGAAGCUUUUGUUUAUGGUGAAACCAAUUCGCAGUCUCAGCAGCUUAAAAAAAUAUUUUUACCUGUGUAUUUAUCUGCCCUCCAUCGCUCUAACCGGCUUUCAAGAAUUUGCAGCUUCAUCCUCAUAAAACCUUUGCAAGAUGGAGGGAUGCACCUUCUCCAUCAGACUGAGGAACAAGGAUCAAAACUAAAAGCUUCAAACUUCAAUUCUUUCCUCUAGUUAGGUUCAAAAUCUGUGCUUGUUGCUUAAGGGGAAGUGGUUUGAGAUAUAUAUAUAUAUAUUUUUUUUUUUUUUCCCCUCCUUACCCCCCAGAUAUUUACUCCCAUUAACUUCACUGAGAGCGAUUGGUAUUAAGUGCCUUUGAAAAUCAAACUGGAGUUAUAACAUAUACCCAGUAUACCUAAAUGAGAGUAAGGUGGCUUUCCAAUGAUUUUUUUUCUUUAGUAAUUCUAGUGGAUUUGUGGAUUUUCUUGCUUUACUAAUAUUACAGUGAAUAAGGUGAAAUUUUCAUCUGUUUUGCCUUAAACAGAGCAUUCAGUUUUGCUAGAAGACCAAAGAGAUUCUCAGGUGUUUGUUGUCACUAUGGAAACUUAAAUAUUACUACCGAAAAAAUCAUGACCGCAUCUUAAAUAUAUUCUGAAGUGGUAACUUCAGCAAUGCGUUUAAACGAGUGUUAAGUUUCAAGCGGCCUGAAGAUGCUUUUCCUCGAUAAGCUCACCUUUCCGAUUACAGCGCAGGUGAGGACAGCUCAAGGGGCAGCCUUCCUCGGACCGAACGCCUCGCGAGGAGUUCACUCUUUACCUUCGGAGCGCUUGUAGGGCUGGAAGCAUUGCGUUCCCUAUUCCAGAAGAGACUGAAGCCAGCAAUCAAGCCUGCACGUGUUUGCUCUUCGGUGGCUGCUUGUGUUGACCUGAGUCCAGGAUUGUGUUUGCACAACCGGAGAUGUUGCAGUCAGAUGAAAAGAGGCUCCCAAUACUGUCCAGGGCUGCGAUAUCAGCAGUUAUUGCAUGGGAGACUCUGAAGCCUGAAUUUGGGUCUUGGCAGGUGAGUGAAGGACAAAUGGAUGUCAACUACAGAUAAACUCAGUCUGAACUCCGAUUAGCAGCACUUUGAUGUUCUCUGUCCUCCUUUUCAGUGGCCUAUUUGGAUAAUGGGCAUUUACACAACUUUAUUUUUAAAACAGGUAUUUCACUCUGGCAGUUCAGAAAUUGGCAGGCUUGAGUUUUAUUUCAGCGCCACUAGAUUUGCUCAGCAACUGUAGGCAAGUCACCAGUUUGUCCCUGAGCACCAGUUGUAAGGCAUUACUUAAAAACUUGUGUUCGGUCUUUUGAGCUCUCCAGUCAGCAGAGAUUAGGUCCUUGCAGCAGCCUGACCCCUUCUCUGAUGUCUGUGACACCUCUGAUGAUUAAGUGAGAAAUGCUGGCUUUAACUUUUCAGGCAAGCAGUGGUCUGCAAGCUUGUGUAUGUCUCUAUUUUCUUCAUUUGGUAGUAGGAAACUGAUUCCAAAACAUCCAUUUGAAUGUUAAAAAAAAGCUUUAUAUUUUUUGAAUGUGUCCUUCAUCUUGCUCUUCAUCUGCCUAUGUUUCCAAAGUCUUGAAGCAAGGCUAGUGCAACUUAGUUUUAAAAUGCAGGCAAAGGCUUCGCCUGAUCUUCUUUGGACCUGUGCUUCCAGGCAAGGCCUCUCGGCCUUGGAUGGACUAUUCAUUUAACCUGGGAACUUGUUCCUGGUUAUGGCUGCUGGAUUUUCUUGUGUCCGGUAAAUGAAGGUUUGGACUCGCCACGGUCUCUGAAAUGCUGAGAUUUUAGGAGUCUAGUGGACAUAAAGCUCUCUCGACAGUGUAUGGGAAGCUGCAGAUAUCUCAAGAUAAGAUCUGUCUUGCUGAAUGUAGCUGCUUUUCUUAUCCAAAUCAUCAAUGCUGUCUACAGUCAAGAAUAAAAUGAGUCUCUGAUUAAAACA
rnacentral:lncRNA from 1 species